rnacentral:rRNA from 1 species
CCUACGGGAGGCAGCAGUGGGGAAUUUUGGACAAUGGGCGCAAGCCUGAUCCAGCAAUGCCGCGUGCAGGAUGAAGGCCUUCGGGUUGUAAACUGCUUUUGUACGGAACGAAACGGCGAGCUCUAAUAAAGUUCGCUAAUGACGGUACCGUAAGAAUAAGCACCGGCUAACUACGUGCCAGCAGCCGCGGUAAUACGUAGGGUGCAAGCGUUAAUCGGAAUUACUGGGCGUAAAGCGUGCGCAGGCGGUGAUGUAAGACAGAUGUGAAAUCCCCGGGCUCAACCUGGGACCUGCAUUUGUGACUGCAUCGCUAGAGUACGGUAGAGGGGGAUGGAAUUCCGCGUGUAGCAGUGAAAUGCGUAGAUAUGCGGAGGAACACCGAUGGCGAAGGCAAUCCCCUGGACCUGUACUGACGCUCAUGCACGAAAGCGUGGGGAGCAAACAGGAUUAGAUACCCUGGUAGUCCACGCCCUAAACGAUGUCAACUGGUUGUUGGGUCUUCACUGACUCAGUAACGAAGCUAACGCGUGAAGUUGACCGCCUGGGGAGUACGGCCGCAAGGUUGAAACGUCAAAUGAAAUUGACGG